UUCAAAAAUAUUGGACAUUUUGGAAGCUGUUUAUUUUAUUAAGACUGCAUGGGACAAAGUAACGGUGGAAGCAAUUAGAAAGCUAGCAGUCGAAUAGUUUAUUGGUGAUACGCGCAGACAUUUACAAACGAUGGCGAAAUGUUGGGUGAUAUAGUCACGCAGUGUUUAAUUUGUGUAUUUUUUAAGUGCUUUCUAACCCUCAAAAAUAGCGUAAAAUUGGGUGUCCUGCGUCUAUAAUAUCUCAAAACAAGUGGCAGGCACCAGCGAUGCGAGUUAGCGAACAGCUGAUUGGCAUAUUUAUAACAUUUUCAAUUUGAUAAAACAAAAAAUGGAUAGAAGACAAGCAUUGCAAUUGUUGGCCGCAUAGAUGGUGCAAAACCACAAUUUGUUAAACAAAAGUAUAAAUACAUUACUACCACUACUUCAAAAGAUUAAAUUGAUGAAUGAAUGGACAAAAGCGAUACCGGAAACUAGUACAAAAGUGGCGUCUUCAGAAAUAAGGGAAAGAAGCGCCUGGAAAUUUAUGAAGGUGAUGAUGAUGGCAUCGGACAUGAUUGUGAUGGCAGCGGACAUGAUGGCGAUGGCAACGGAGGUAAUAAUGAUGGGUCGGACGGCGGCAGCAAUUGGGUUAAUGUUGAAUUAGUUUUUUACCUCGGAAUAUGUCUCUAUGUACAAAGUAGAAUUAACGGUAGUACAUCCUACUAUCCGAUGCAUAGCAUUAUAAUGUCUCCAAGGCGAGGGACUACCACCAAAAGGGCCAAUUUUGGUUUUAUCCAGUUAUUAAUGUGUUAAAAGAAGAAAUGUAAUUAUUGAAAAAACUCACGUGUAUUUCUUUGUCAUGUUUCCUCGGCGGUGUAUCUUUGUGUCAUUUCCUGCGAUAUCCCAUUGUAUAUAUGAGCAUUCGCUCCCAUUGUAUAUAUGAGCAUUUCGCUUUGCACGCCGGAAGUCGUGGGAACGUUCCUCCCACUUUUCCAGCAGCUCUAACUCAUCCUUUAAAAUCUACCCUGAACGAUUUCUGCCAUCCAGCUGAAACUAAAACAAAGAUAAUAAUUUUCGUUUAGAAGGCAAUGCAAAAUACCAAAAUUACUUACUUUUUAUCUAUAAUCGCCGCUUUUCAAAAUAACUUUGUUUACUUUUGUUCUUAUUUUUCAAUCACAAUAUGUGGCCUUACCAGCCUUCUUUGCUGCUUUUCCACUAGUUUUAGGAGGCAUGUUUUUUUCUCAAUCCACUUUUUCACUAAGACUUAUGUUAUUCUCAUAUAUACAAUGGGAUAUCGUCGUUUUGAAAUGUUCAUAUAAAUAAAUUAAUG